rnacentral:rRNA from 1 species
UGGGGGGCACUGCCUGCCCAGUGAAUUUAUUUUAACGGCCGCGGUAACUUAACCGUGCGAAGGUAGCACAAUCACUAGCCCUCUAAAUAAGGGCCUGUAUGAAUGGCAACACGAGGGCUAAACUGUCUCCUCUUUAUCCUAUGAAACUUCUUUGGCCGUGCAAAAGCGGCCAUAAAAGCGCCAGACGAGAAGACCCUGUCGAGCUUCAGGAGUAAAAAACCGACUAAAAGUUAUAAUCGGCUGAUACCACAUACUAUAACUUAUUCUCCCCCUCUUUCUUACUCCUUUGGUUGGGGCAACCCCGGAGAAAACCCCCCCUCUGAAUCAAACUACUUUUAACCGACAUUACGUCCUAAACACCAACCUUAUGAUACACAUGACCCGAUUAACUCGAACAACAAACAAAGUUACCGCAGGGAUAACAGCGUAAUCCCUCCCAAGAGCCCCCAUUGCCGGAGGGGUUUGCGACCUCGAUGUUGGAUCAGGGUACCCCGACGGUGUAACCGCUAUCAAAGGUUGGUCUGUNCGACCAUAA